CAAUGAUAUUCACCUUCGGUGAAUGAUAUUGCGCUUUGCGCAGUGUUAUAGACUUUUACGCUAUAUUCAGC
rnacentral:misc_RNA from 1 species